AUUUACAUAUAAAAACAGGGCAUGAGACCAUGGUCGCAUCUAAAUCAAAACGAGGCUAGGGCUUUCCGGAAUCGCGGUUCUCCCAUCUAUUUACCCCUAACCAUAUCCGGUUAUAAUAGAAGCCUUUCCACGGAUUCUUAAUCAAGCUUUAGAUUUAAUUAAUGCUUAAAUUUAGACGUUAGCUCUACCCUCAAACACAAUAACGGUUAGGUAGUAAGGGUUCUACAGGAUUAUACGAAGAUUUUAAAUGGAGGAAGCAGGUGUGCAUGAAGCAGCUUCGUGAAUGGUGUGUAGUCUGUUUGUCAAAAUGUGAAGCUCAGGUGUAUAUCAAGCUGUACAGCGACUAUCAGAAUUUUGGUGCAAAACAAAGAUACAAUUUUAAUCAGAUUGAUUUCAAGGUAGGAGUAGUCUCCCCUAUCAAAGAUCAGUAAUGGUGGAUAUACAAUGCUGGAUGCAGUCUGGUCAUCAACAGAGAGUUUUGACAUCCAUUAUUCAUCUCUUUAACCUUUGCUGUGUUUAUCAGACAGAUGAUGAACCAGUCUACUUCUUUUACAAGAGGUGCCCCUCCAGAUUCACAAAGUUCCAAUGUUGAGUUCCCAUGACACCUAUUCAUCCACCACAGGAAAAGGAAAUAGUUGACAGGACUUUUUGCACUGUAAUUGGAAGCAGCUUACGAUGGAACCAACAGCAGUAGAUAAAGCCAGCUGCCUGAAAGAUUUUUAAUUGGACUGUGCCACUUAUGUCAAGAGGCCCAACUUCACAGAAAAAACCUGGCUGGUUAUAAAGGAUUGUUAUAAUUUGAUACCACUUCCAGUUUUUCAAGACACAAAUGGGCAUUUCCUGAACUUUCCAGUAAUUUUUCAACAAGGAACUGUACUGUGGCUCACUUUUUAUUCAGGAGAACUUUGUUUUCGUGUAAUUACAUGAGACUUUUGAUCUCACAAAAAUUGAUUCUGUGGUACAAUAGCAUUCUGUAAAACAUAAAGAGCUACAACCACAAUUCUUGAAAAUUUUGUCUAGUUAAAAAAGAGUUUAUUCUUAUCUCAUGAGAAUAAGGUGUCUCAAAACUUAAGCAGUCUAUCUAGUGAAGUAUGUUACUUCUUAUUUUUAUCAAUACAGUGUGCUAUGUCAUAUGAGAUAUGUGAGUCUUUAAACUUUCUUGAAGAAGAACAUUCAUACUGCAUAUGUAAAUGAUACAGUAAAACUCGUUUAUAACGAAGUCGCUGGGACUUAUGAAAUUACCUAGCUAUAUCCGUAAUUUGUUAUAACCGUAUAGGAAAUUCAUUAAAUUCAUAUAGCUGGGGAUCCAAGAUGACUUCGUUAUAACCGUGAAUUGGCAAUAUCUUUGUUCAUACUAAACGAAUUUUACUGAAAAGAAAGAAUUUCAAAGUCCUUUAAUAUAAAAAAUAAAGCAACAAAAAGAAAUUCUCUGUGUUUUUAUUCCAUCAAUAUGUUUGAGAAUAAAUUGUAUCCAUGAUAUUUCCUCUCCAUUAUGUAGCACUUUGAUUUUGUUGUUCAAGAAUUUAAGUUCAACUUUGACAUUUGUUCAAGUAACCUUGACCUUUUGAGUUGUUCAAAAUUAUGGGAGAUGUCACCACAAAGAUUAAUAUGUGAUUGGAUUUUAAAAAUAAACAGGAAAU